AUUGAACGCUGGCGGCAGGCCUAACACAUGCAAGUCGAGCGAGCGGCGGACGGGUGAGUAAUGUGUAGGGACUGCCCGCUUGAGGGGGGUAACUACUGGAAACGGUAGCUAAUAACGCAUACUAUCGGAUAACCCAUAUGGGUUUGGCUAGUAGGUGAGGUAAUGGCUCACAUAGGCGACGAUCCCUAGCUGGUCUGAGAGGAUGAUCAGCAAAACGGGGACGGGGACACGGCCCGGCUCCCUACGGAGGCAGCAGUGGGGAACAUUGGACAAUGGGCGAAAGCCUGAUGCAGCCAUGCGGCGUGGAUGAAGAAGGCCCUAGGGUGGUAAAGUACUUUCAGUCGGGAGGCGUUACCUAAAGAAGAAGCACCGGCUAACUCCGUGCCAGCAGCCGCGGUAAUUC
rnacentral:rRNA from 1 species